rfam:Ciona savignyi cont_5282, whole genome shotgun sequence.
UAAACGGCUCUUUUCAGAGCCACCCAAAUUUGGAAAAGAGCUUAG